AUGUAUGCUGAGAACUGGAAGAGCAGAAAAAAGACUUUUGCAGGAUGGUUGUCUGAUUCCUUGGGAAAUCUGAAGAGCUUGAAUGGGAAGGCGCACAGACUGAAGACUGUCUCAGGCGGGAAACAACAGCAUAAGCAAAGGCCGGCAAGCCUUCCCUCAGUCAAAGCAUUGGUAUAUUUUCACACUGCAGGCCAAGCCUCAACAAUAACUCCACCAGGAUUUAGAAAACUGGAUAGAUUCUAGAGAACUCUUUUUGAAAUGCUGAGUAAACCAAACCCCUCCAGGGAAGCAGUGUCGACGAGUAAACAAGCUUCAGAAGGCCGACUUUGGUGUCUCAGAGUCCUCAACUGCCUCCGAGAAAAACGCCUGCCUGAACUCCUUCGCAGGGCUCCUUCAGAGGACAAAAGAGAUUGUGAAAGAUGAAGCCACUUUGAAAAAUCCAAAGGCCAGUACAAACGGAAUUAAGCAAGCACCGCUUCAUAAUGAACCAUCUUGCUCUAAGCUCGCUUCCCACCCUGGGCCUGGGAGGGGGGAACCCUUCCCACACUCACUGGAGAACUUUGCACCACAUAAACCUUGAACGGAGAGAGCAUUUCCACGGCCAGCUGAGGCCAGAUGUGCUCUGACGGGCGUUCCCUGCAGCAACUGGAGAAGACCAAGCGUCUCCGGACCCAUGGCGUCCCCACCCCCUCCUCCCCUUCCUUCUCCGAAAUGGGCUAUGCGAACUGUAGGGAAAUGAUACACUUUGUUCAAAGAUAAACUGAGGCGUAUUAAAAAUGUUGAGUUUAUUUUUGCAAAAAUCAAUUGGAAAAGGGCAGUGCCAAACCGGAAGUAGUUGGGAGCGCCCCACCUACAGGAGCUGGGGAAAGAUCUUUAUAGAGAAAACGCCAACAAAGCCAGGAAACUAUCUGCUUGGUUCUAGAUUAUUGCUUGCUCCCAGGUUUUGAUUUCUUAACCUUGAGGCAUUUAUGGGCUUGGGUUUUGGUUUGCUUACAUAGAGUGCUAGGUAUUAGAAUCCUCAGUCUCAUGGCCUCUUUGUUUCAUUAAUUUAACAACUUGCAUGUCUGUUUAGCAAACAGCUGGCUGCCUGCGGUGGAGAGCGGACAAGAUCCCAUCCUGAGUCCUCUUCACCACACCGUGCUCUAUCUGGAGGAAGCCAAAAUCACCUCUGCCUACACUCACAGGUUGUAAAUUGAGUGUCAGCCACAAUCCCCAGCCACAGAGCUACCCACCAAGUAGCUGUCAGCUCUGCAGCACCCAAGUCAUCUUCCAAGAUGUGCCUCCAGAGGGCUGGCACAGCAAGCAGCGUGAGACGAGGGUUUGCAGUAAUCAACUCCCACAAAGUAAAAAGCUGCCGAUUCUUGAGCUUCUGGCUGCUUUCUGAGUUACCCUUGGCCCUAAACUCCCUUUCAAUAAAAAGGGGAAAGUUGAGUUCCUGUCCGCCUGU
rnacentral:lncRNA from 1 species